rnacentral:rRNA from 1 species
CCUACGGGAGGCAGCAGUGGGGAAUAUUGCACAAUGGGGGAAACCCUGAUGCAGCGACGCCGCGUGAGUGAAGAAGUCAUUCGUUAUGUAAAGCUCUAUCAGCCGGGGAGAAAAUGACGGUACCUGAGUAAGAAUCCCCGGCUAACUACGUGCCAGCAGCCGGGGUUAUGCGUAGGGGGCAAGCGUUAUCCGGAUUUACUGGGGGUAAAGGGGGCGUAGAGGGCAGUGCAAGUCUGGAGUGAAAGGCGGGGGCUCAACCCCCGGACUGCCCUGGAAACUGUACGGCUGGAGUGCAGGAGAGGUAAGUGGAAUUCCUGGUGUAGCGGUGAAAUGCGUAGAUAUUAGGCAGAACACCAGUGGCGAAGGUGGCUUACUGGACUGUAACUGACGUUGAGGCUCGAAAGCGUGGGGAGCGAACAGGAUUAGAUACCCGAGUAGUC